rnacentral:tRNA from 1 species
GCUGGUGUGGCUCAAUGGCAGAGCAGCUGACUUGUAAUCAGCAGGUUGUAGGUUCGACUCCUAUCACCAGCU